UACAGAGGGGGCGAGCGUUGUUCGGAAUUACUGGGCGUAAAGGGCGCGUAGGCGGCUUGUUAAGUCGAACGUGAAAUCCCCGGGCUCAACCCGGGAACUGCGUCCGAAACUGGCAGGCUAGAAUUCGGGAGAGGGAUGUGGAAUUCCAGGUGUAGCGGUGAAAUGCGUAGAUAUCUGGAGGAACAUCGGUGGCGAAGGCGACAUCCUGGACCGAUAUUGACGCUGAGGCGCGAAAGCCAGGGGAGCAAACGGG
rnacentral:rRNA from 1 species